GUGCGACCCCAGGAUGGGCGGGGUGACCCGCUGAGUUUAAGCAUAUCAAUAAGCGGAGGAGAGGAAACUUACGAGGAUUCCCCUA
rnacentral:rRNA from 7 species